UCUACUUCAGUAUUAUGAACUUUUUAAAUUUUUUAGUAUUAUACAUAAUUAAUAAAAAAAUAUUUUCCUCUUGCGCUCCAGAAAUCGUGAGCAUUUAUCUCAUCACGAGAAUACAGAUGUAACAAUAAAAAAUGUACUUUCGGUAACGGUCGGGUCAGUUCGUGCGCCUUCGUCAGUGUAUAGCCGUUCGGUCGAACUCGGUAUAUUUCGUUACUUUUAAACUUAUAUUCUCCCAGUUACGUUAAGUGACGCUAAACGUAUUUACGUGAUAAUAGUAGUAUUAAAUAUUUAUUAAUUAAUAAUAAUCAUCAGUUUGAGCAACGCAGAUGUGAUUUAAAUUAUUAUGAGUUCAUAUAAUUUGCCUUCGUCGAUGAAAAUAGAGCCAAACGAGGAAAUCGACCAAGAUAUUAGAGAAUUUUUACAUUUGGAUGCCGAAGGAGACUGAAGUACAUGAAGAGUCAGAUACUGAAAGAAAUGAGCAAGUGAAUUGUAGCACAGACACUGAGCAGUCUGAUAACGAUAUUGAAGCAUCUGAUGGAAAUAACAAUAAUAAUAACGAUUAUUUAAUAGGAAAAGAUAAUGUGACUAAAUGGGAGUUCAAUCCACCAAGUCAAUGGGUAAGAACAGAUAAAGCUAAUAUUGUCAUUCAUCUUCCAGGGGUUAAAGGUUCAGCGAAAAAUGUUGACAAUAUAGUUGAUGCUUGGAAAUUAUUUUUUCCCUUAUCAACUGUUGAAGAAAUUGUAACAUGUACGAAAAUUUAUUUAGAAAAGUUGAGAGUAAAAGGGUCAUACCAAGCUACAGAUGCUCAUAAUACUAAUUUAAACGAAAUACACGCUUUGAUUGGAGUUUUAUUUUUAAUUGGUUUGAAACAUGGAUCACACUUGAAUUUAAGAGUUAUGGUGUACUGAUGGUACAGCACCUGAUAUAUUUCGUGCUAUAAUGAGUAUGAAAAGAUUUUAUCUUUUGCUAUCGGCUCUGAGAUUCGAUGACAUAAAUACUCGAGAAGAACGGAAAAAACUUGACAAUUUAGCACCAAUUAGAAAAUUCAGCGACGAUUUUAUUGACAGGUGUCAAAAACUAUACAUACCAAGUGAAUUCCUGACUAUUGAUGAAAUGUGAGAAAGUUUUCGGGGCCGCUGUAAAUUUCGGCAAUACAUAGCCAACAAGCCUGCAAAAUAUGGAAUUAAAAUAUAUGCGAUAGUCGAUGCAAAGACAUUUUACACAUUUAAAAUGGAAAUUUAUGCUGGUAAACAACCAGCAGGACCCUUUCAGUAAUCAAAUAGUGCCUAUGACGUUGUGAAAAGGUGAAGUGAAUUAAUUCUCAAUACAGGACGUAAUUUAACCAUGGACAAUUAUUUUACCUCUGUGCAUCUUGUUCGAGAUUUAUUAAUCAACCAUCGAACCACAAUGGUAGGAACUAUUCGUAAAAAUAAAAGAGAGAUUCCUCCACAGCUCCUGAUAACUAAAAAAGGGAAGUUCCUAGCAGCGAGUUUGUGUUCUCAGAGAAAUGUACAUUAGUAUCACAUGUCCCAAAAAAAAAAAUGUUCUCCUCUUAUCUACUAUGCAUCACUCAAAAGAUAUAGAUCCUGAAUCUGGUUCUAAAAAAAGCCAGAAAUAAUUACUUUCUAUAAUUCAACAAAAGGAGGAGUUGAUACUGUUGAUGAACUAAAAGGCAACUAUUCAACGGCUCGGGAGACUGCACGUUGGCCAAUGGUUAUUUUCUAUUCGUUUUUGAACAUAUCUGGUAUAAAUGCGCAAAUAAUUUAUAAAAGUAACAAAGCAGCUGAUAAAAACAAUAAUGUCAGUAUGACUCGUCGCGAAUUUUUAAAAAAGCUGGCAUUAGAUUUAAUUCAACCCCAUCUCCUUGAUCGGCUAAAAGAGCCAAGAUUAACUAUAGAGCUUCGUCACACGAUUUUAAAAAUUACGAAAUUAAAAUCUGAUACUGUUGCUGAAUGGAAUGCUGAAGACAAUGGGGCAAGUAAUGGAUUUUGUGCGUUUUGUCCACGGCGAAAGAAUCGCAAAACUAAAAAACAUUGUUGUAACUGUUCAUCAUUCAUAUGUAAUGAGCAUACUGCAUUUUUCUGCAUGGACUGUCAACAGAAAUUAACUGAUUCUAUUAACUAAUUUUACUAAAUGAAAUUUAUUACUAUUGUUAUUAUUUACCAUUUUUGUAUUUAUCCAUUUGAUUGAUUGUAAUUACAAUCUAAGAAAUAAUAAAUAAUAGUCAUUAGAGUUUAACUAAUAUAAGUUCGAUAAAAUCCAUGGAAUCUAUGGAAAUUUAAUGUUGAUUUAAAAUGUAUAAAUUUUAACUACCAUUAACUUAAUUACAAUAAAUAAUUCGAAAAA